GAGAAGUGAAAAAUAAUGUUAUCACUUUAUUUAAAGGGUUGAAAGAGUCUUGUUUGGAAUUGUGUGGGGUUGAAUAAUUAUGUUUGUAAUAUUUCAGAAGUUGGCAGAAAAAGAAAGAAAAAUAGAAAAGAAAAAAAUGAAUGAAAAAAUAGAAGGAUGUCAAUACAUACUCCUCAUAAAAAAAUGAAUAAAAAGAGAAAGGAGAAGAGAAAAUAAUUGAUAUAGAGUUGUUCAAGUGAAUGAAAUAUUUUGUAAAUUCAACUCCUGCAGUUUCUUUCAAGUCUCUUUUAUCUCUUUGAAUUUUAGCCCAGUCCCUUAG
rnacentral:lncRNA from 1 species